GAAAGAGGCUGGGUUUUUGCUGACACUUUCUUGCUGGGAAUUGAAUGCUGCCUGAAUCAUCCAUCCAGGGCCAUUUGUUCAUAAAACCUCCACCCCAAAUAAAGCAGCUCCUCCUCUGCAUCACGGAUGACUUCAAGCUGCACCUCUGUGAGCAUCGCCAGCCUGCUGCCCUGGGGACAUCACACAGAGCCAGCAUCCAGCUUGAGAAGGCUCCUUGCAGAGGAGGAACGUGCUCAGGGGCCGGUCCCACCCUCCAAGGUUGGCUGUGGGUGUCCGGCCAGCAGGAGUGGAGCUGAAAGACCCUUUCUGUGCCUUGGAGUCGGGAGAAGGAAGAGAAAGGAAAGGGCUGAGAGAGAGAGACUUCAAAGUACGUGAGCAAAUAUUUACAGGUUCCAAGAUGAAAACCCCUGUAUCUACAGAGUUGUCUUGGGGCUACAGGGAGUCAGGCUUGAAGCAAAGCCCGCUCACGGCUCCAUUUGUUCUAUUGAUUUAUGAAGACUGCGGGUAUCGAUUCCCAUCAGCCGCGCCGGCAGAGGAGGCAGCUCCGAGAGCCCCAGGCUUGGGCAAAGGGCAGCUCCAGCCGCAGGGCUGUGCUCAGGGGUGUGCGGUGUGCUCUGUCUGUAGGCUUAGCUUUUGCACUAAGUGAGGGCUCAAUGCUUCUGCAACACUCCCUUGAGCACCGGGGAAGGGGAUGCUGCAGGGACAUCGUUCAGGGCAGGGAGGGAAAUACCAGGG